rnacentral:rRNA from 1 species
AGUGAACGCUGGCGGUAGGCCUAACACAUGCAAGUCGAACGGCAGCACAGUAAGAGUUUUCUCUUACGGUUGGCGAGUGGCGGACGGGUGAGGAAUACAUCGCCAUCUACUUUUUCGUGGGGGAUUACGUAGAGACACUUACGCUACUACCGCAUACGACCUACCGGUUAAAUCAAUGGAUCUUCGGAGCUUUCGCGAUUGAAUUAGACGAUGCCGCAUUAGCUAGUUGGCGAGGUAAAGGCCCACCAAGGCAACGAUGCGUAGCCGAUCUGAGAGGAUGAUCGGCCACACUGGAACUGAGACACGGUCCAGACUCCUACGGGAGGCAGCAGUAGGGAAUAUUCCGCAAUGGGCGAAAGCCUGACGGAGCAACGCCGCGUGAGUGAUGAAGGUCUUCGGAUCGUAAAACUCUGUUAUUGGGGAAGAAAAAAUGUGGAAGUAACUAUGGACGUCUUGACGGUACCUAAUCAGAAAGCAACGGCUAACUACGUG